rnacentral:snRNA from 1 species
UAUCCGUGGGUUCACUGCAUCACGCACAAAUCUUUCGCCUUUUACUAAAGAUUUCCGUGCAGAGAAUCAAUAAGAUCGGAAUUUAACAAUUUAUUUCUGCCUUGUAUUUGACGAGGCU